GGCGGCGUGCCUAACACAUGCAAGUCGCGCGAGAAAGUGGGGGCAACUCCACGAGUAAAGCGGCGCACGGGUGAGUAAUACGUAGGUAACCUGCCUUCGAGAUCGGGAUAACCUUCCGGAAAGGAGGGCUAAUACUGGAUAAGACCACAGAGUUUCGGCUCCGUGGUCAAAGGUGGCCUCUGCUCGCAAGCUACCGCUCGAAGAUGGGCCUGCGCACCAUUAGCUAGUUGGCGAGGUAACGGCUCACCAAGGCGAAGAUGGUUAGCUGAUCUGAGAGGAUGAUCAGCCACACUGGGACUGAGACACGGCCCAGACUCCUACGGGAGGCAGCAGUGGGGGAAUCUUGGACAAUGGGGGAAACCCUGAUCCAGCGACGCCGCGUGGGUGAUGAAGGCCUUCGGGUCGUAAAGCCCUGUCGGGGGGGAAGAAACUCUUGCCGGUGAACAAUCGGCGAGACCGACGGUACCCCCUAAGGAAGCACCGGCUAACUCCGUGCCAGCAGCCGCGGUAA
rnacentral:rRNA from 1 species